rnacentral:rRNA from 1 species
UUUACACUAUUUUGUCUACUCCAUUUCUAUUUCUACUUUUUGCCUUAUUACUAUCAAUCCUAUGUAGGAACACUUUUGCUUUUGUCUUUGCAAAGCAAAGGARAAGUAGUAUGGUCCCCCCUAAGGCUAAAUAUAACUGCAAAGGUGUAUAAUAAAUAUGGAAAAACAAAAUAAGUAAAAUAACUUAUUUAUAAAUAACUAUCACUCAAUCCAGUCUUAAUAAAAAAAAAAGAAAAAACAAUAUAAUAAAAAUAAUAAUACAAAUUACUAUUUAUAUAAAUAAAUACUUUCUCCUUAUUAUUUAAAUAGAGGGAUUGGGUAUGCAAGAACUGGUA